GCCCCCCAUUGGUGCAAGGGAAGACGUAUGCGAAGAUCCUCGCGCUGCAGUCGGGACCCGGAUAGACGAAUGUAGCGUUCGACAGAACGUUGUUCAC
rnacentral:ribozyme from 17 species